rnacentral:rRNA from 1 species
AGACAGCAGUCGCCGCGGGAAUACGGAGGGUGCAAGCGUUAUCCGGAUUUAUUGGGUUUAAAGGGUCCGUAGGCGGAUCUGUAAGUCAGUGGUGAAAUCUCACAGCUUAACUGUGAAACUGCCAUUGAUACUGCAGGUCUUGAGUAAAUUUGAAGUGGCUGGAAUAAGUAGUGUAGCGGUGAAAUGCAUAGAUAUUACUUAGAACACCAAUUGCGAAGGCAGGUCACUAAGAUUUAACUGACGCUGAUGGACGAAAGCGUGGGGAGCGAACAGGAUUAGAUACCCCGGUAGUCCCUGUCUCUUAUAC